rnacentral:rRNA from 1 species
AGCUCUAAUAGCGUAUACUAAGGUUGUUGUGGUUAAAAAGCUCGUAGUUGGAUCUCAGUUCGAGUCAGACGGUCCACUUGCCAGUGGCUACUGUCUGGCUGAACACUUUAUCGACUUGUCCUACGGUAUUCUUAAUCGAGUGUCGUAGGCGAUCGAUACGUUUACUUUGAAAAAAUUAGAGUGCUCAAAGCAGGCUUUAAAAGCCCGAAUAAUGUUGCAUGGAAUAAUGGAAUAGGACCUCGGUUCUAUUUUGUUGGUCUUCGGAAUCCCGAGGUAAUGAUUAAGAGGGACAGACGGGGGCAUUUGUAUUGCGACGCUAGAGGUGAAAUUCUUGGACCGUUGCAAGACAAACCAAAGCGAAGGCAUUUGCCAAGAAUGUUUUCA